GCAACGUGCUUGGCCGACCCUAACAAUAGGCGUUAAGUUAUACCCGGCCGAGCUGUCCAGCAAUAAAGACGUGCUUAGUGUGUGAAGGGGGUAUCGUGGUAGAAGCCUGUGUGGCAUGUUUUAGUUUCACAAGUUCAGCAUUUGACGCGGACACGGAUAGCUGACCGUGUGUCAUAUUGUUGAUGCUGAGAACGAUGAUGAUGCGAUGGGGAUAUCGAUGGUGAUGUCGAUGACGAUGUGAUGGUGAAGUCGAUGACGAUGUGAUGGUGAUGUACAUGCAUGUUGAUGACGACGAUGAUGUUAUGGUGAUGAUGACGACGACGAUGAUGAUGGUCAUGUCGAUGAAGAUGAUGUAGAUAAUGUCGUUCAUGGUGACGUCGAUGAGGAUGAUGAAGUAGAUGAUUAUGGUGAUGACGAUGAUGUCUAUUAUGAUUAUGGUGUUGUAGGCGAUGAUGUUGACGAUAGUGUCGAUGAUUAUGAUGACGAUGGUGAUUAUGAUGAUUGUGGUGACGUAACUACUAUAGUUGUGGUUGUCCGUAGUUGGUCCAGGACUACAGCCCCGGAGAUUCGGACACUCUUCUAAUUUAUUUUUGGUCAUUUGUAUAAACAUCAUAUUUUUUCUUGUUGAGUGAAAGGUGUGUGAGUGUUUGUGUGGUUUAGUGUUUAUAUUUCUAUCUUUUCUUUCUUUCUCUUAUUUUUUUUGUUAUUAAAUUUUGUUAAAUUUAAGAUGUCUUGUUGUUGUUUGGAGUAGCCUCCGCUCAUCCCGUUACAAUUGGUGGCAGCGGUGGGAUGAGUUGACUCCUCCAGAUACUACAAGAUAUCUUUAUAAGUGAACAGUUGCCAAGGUUUAUUUUAUUUUUCAUUUUUUGAUCUUUUUUGUAGUACAUGUAAGAGCAAGUGUAGGUCGUUGUUUCCUUUUCCCUUGGUGAGUACAUUACGUUAGGCAGAUUGUUUUGUUAAAAGUUGAGAAGUUAGUCCCUUUAUGAGAUAAUUUUGAGGUAAGUUGGUCUGUCAGUCAAUGCACCAUGUCUACUGUCAAGGAGAUGCUGGAGCUACUUGAAGUGGGGACCAAGAUGGGGAUGAAGGAUGAAGACCUUCAACAAUUCGUGAAGGACGAACAGGCCAGAAUGCGGGACGAACGUGAGAAACAUAGAGUCGAGAGACAGGAGGAGAGAGACCGCGACUUCAAACUACAGAUGGAGAAAGAGCGCGCCGCAAGAGAACAUGAUGAGCGAGAGCACGCCCGAUUGAUAGAAGAAAAGAGACAUCAGCAAAACCUAGAAGAACUGGAACUUGAUCACAAACUGCAACUCGAGAGAUCUCACAUGAAGCCGAGUGUUGUGACUAAGGAGGAGAAAGAAACUUCUCAAGUGAUAAAAGGACCAAAACUUCCUCCGUUUGAGGAUUCGAAAGACAACAUUGACGCGUACAUUCAAAGAUUUGAGAUAUACGCAACAACGCAGAAAUGGAAUAAAGACACGUGGGGGACUCAUCUUAGCGCAUUACUCAAAGGAAAAGCACUGGAUGUGUUCGCAAGACUCUCACCCGAAACAGCACUUGAUUUCAACGAGUUGAAGAACGCCCUGUUGAAACGAUUUGACAUGACGGAGGACGGUUUCCGCAAGAAGUUCCGAUUUUCAAAACCAGACGGAAGUGAAACUUUUAUGCAAUUUUCUACCAGACUGGACAGUUACCUUGAGCGGUGGAUUCAGCUGUCUAAGACUAACAAGACAUUCGAUUGGCGCGAUACGCGGACCAGUUUGCUGAGGCCAGAACAGUGACAUCUUCUUCACUUACGCAAAAACCGCUCUUUGACAGACGACAGCAGUCCGAUAGACAACCGCCGUACAAAGAUUCCGUGCAUCAAAACCAAUCUGGAAAUGCAGUGAAGUGUUAUGAGUGCGGACGACAAGGACAUAAAGCAUUUAACUGCAACUUCCGCAAAAGUCCGAAUAACAGGCCGUUUAAUUCGAGCGAGAAACAAGAAACAACACCGAAACAUACUUACCCUAGUGAUUUUCAACGUGGGUCGUACAAUAAUGGGAACCAUGGAUAUCCAGGACGCGGUAGAGGUCGCCAAGGAGCCGCGAGUGUCGUCGAGAAACAUGGAAACUUACCGUGUGUUGGUGAUUCGGUUGCUUUCUGUGAAACGGAAAUGCCAGUUGUGAAGGGAUGUGUUGGCAAUAAACUAGUGACUGUGCUAAGAGACACAGGUUGUAGUGGUGCCGUUAUUCGUAGAGAACUGGUAAACGAUGAUCAACUAACAGGGACAUCUCAACGAUGCAAGUUAGCAGACGGUCGUAUUAUUGAUUCAGAUGUGGCUAGAAUUGAUGUCGAUACUCCUUACUUUAUCGGAAGUGUUGAUGCUUGGUGCUUUGAUUUGCCUUCGUACGAUCUUAUUCUUGGUAAUAUUCGUGGAGUAAGGAAACCACAUGAACCAAAUCCAGCCUGGAUUCAUUCCGUUGAAAACAUAGCAGCUGUUGAAACGCGUGCGCAACUGAAAAAGAAACAGUCUCCAUACAAACCAUUGAAAGUACCGGAAGCAAUUGUAAGCCUUCUGUCUUACAGGAUCCUAUUGAGGGUCAGCUCAAGCUUAUGGAUGACAAGUCCAGUAUUUCUUUCUCAAGCGGUUUUAUUAAGCGUGAUCGUAUAGUUACAAUAACAUCAGCUAAUAGCAGCCCAAAUCAGGAGUCUGCACAAUCUCAUUUCAUAUGGGUAUAUAUAAGGUUUUACUUAUGAUGGACAGUUUUGACUAGUUCGGCCCAUAUACGACGAUCAUGAGUGAACAUUUAGUGUUCAAAAUUAAGAUUAAUAUUUUAUUUCUAAAUAAAGUAACAAAACCGUC
rnacentral:sRNA from 1 species